UAGUAUUAUUAUUAAAUGUUGACGAGAAGUCAUCAGUUGAUUCUGUUGGUUUAUUUUGGAGUAUCAGUCGAACAUUAUAUUUAUCUUUAAGAUUGUAAAUGCCACUCUAUUAACGGCAUUAUUGGGCAGUUAUUACCCGCAAAGCGAAAACAUUGAAUAAGCAUAUUAUAGAUGUGUGGUUGUAUUAUGUCGAAUUUUGAAAGAACUGUAGAUAAAAAUGGUGUAUUGUCAGUGAAAGUGUGUUGUUGAACAUUUGAUACAGCCUUCAAACACAUUUCAUUUUAGUAAGAAUAGCUGUAACAUCACAAGCCCAAACUGUUGUGGAUAGUCACUGAAGCAUUUUGGAUUAAGACAAAACAUUCACCACCAACUAAAGAGAAAACAAAUAACAUAGAAGUGCAAUAAAUAUACUGUCAAAAUUACCAUAGAUAGACAGUUUUAACAUUAUACAGAGUUCACACUGCAAAACACUGAGUAUCAUUAAAUGUAGUUUGUCAAGCAGACUACAGUGUUUUCUUUUUCUCCACCAGUUGUCAAAACAAUCUGCUUACUGUAUACAGUCGUAGUACAACAAUGAAGAGAGCAUAUCAGAUUGAAAGGUCAAAAUACAGCAAGGCAGAAGGGAAUGUUGAGAUUGAAAGAGUUUCUGAUGAAAGACGUGUAUUCAAAAGGUUGCCCAGCAUUUCAAUUUUUGAAAAAUAGUAAGAGGGGCAGAUAUGUUCCACUGGACAUCAAAUGGUCCAUUAUAUGAUCACCGAGAGGAAGCUAAGUGGCCACACUGGUCAGCAAGCAGGUUAUUCUUGAGUUAACUGAUGAUACAUGGACAAGAGCAGAUGAAUAUCAGAGAAGUGAAGAAUCUGGACGAACAAGUGGUGUAAGAGCAGGGCCAAAUGCGCAAGCGCAACCGUUGGAUGCCAG